AGUGAACGCUGGCGGUAGGCCUAACACAUGCAAGUCGAACGGCAGCACAGUAAGAGCUUGCUCUUACGGGUGGCGAGUGGCGGACGGGUGAGGAAUACAUCGGAAUCUACUUUUUCGUGGGGGAUAACGUAGGGAAACUUACGCUAAUACCGCAUACGACCUACGGGUGAAAGCAGGGGAUCUUCGGACCUUGCGCGAUUGAAUGAGCCGAUGUCGGAUUAGCUAGUUGGCGGGGUAAAGGCCCACCAAGGCGACGAUCCGUAGCUGGUCUGAGAGGAUGAUCAGCCACACUGGAACUGAGACACGGUCCAGACUCCUACGGGAGCCAGCGGUGGGGAAUAUUGGCCAAUGGGCGCAAGCCUGAUCCAGCCAUACCGCGUGGGUGAAGAAGGCCUUCGGGUUGUAAAGCCCUUUUGUUGGGAAAGAAAAGCAGCAGGUUAAUACCCCGCUGUUCUGACGGUACCCAAAGAAUAAGCACCGGCUAACUUCGUG
rnacentral:rRNA from 1 species